ensembl:lncRNA
GUGAUUCUGUCCCUGCAUUACUGUGAGGGGUUGGGCUGUGCAGGAAGGAGCCCCGCGCUGCCACCUCCCUGGCCAGAAGUGCUCAGUCUGUCAGAGGUGCCUUGCAGGAAUGGAAUGAAUUGAGCCCUGCUCUGUUUUGCUAAAGAGGUACAGAGCAAGGCAGCAAACCUGAGCACUAUUCAAAUUUAUCAGCACCAAAAGACACCUGCAGAGAGGAGACAGAGGCCCGGCAGCAUGCUGGCUGUGUCCCACUGUGGUGCUGUGGGAUGGGAGCUGAUGGGAGCCGGGUCUGCUGAUGUUAGGAGCUCUCCCUUCCCCACACAGCUCCAGCCCUGGCUUGACAAAGCCCUGCUGUAAUGCAGUUGUUGUGCUCCGAGGGGAGCAGGAAGACUGUGGAGUUCUUCCAAGAAUUUUUCAAUUUCCACAGAUGAAAAUAUAGUCUAAACCAGAUGCCAGCUGAAACGCACUCACUUCGUACCACCUCGCCAAGGCAGCGCGCCACGGGCUCAGCAAUGUGACCUUUAAAAUAGCCUUUCUAGAACACACUGCUAAGAGCACUUUCUAAAAAGCCACAAUUGCAGCUACUCUUAUUACUCAUAAUGUCUUUGAUGGAGAGGAAUACUCAGGGAACUUCAGCUUCAGCAACCCGGUAGAGUCAGUUCUGUGCAGCGGAGGCUUCCUUCGUGGCAUUACAGACUUGAGACCACGAUGAGAGCGUUGGUGAUAAUGAACAUUUCCUAAAGCAUUACUUGUAUAAGAUUAAAAUGAAAUAAAAGCAGUGAAACCUUUGCUUUGCCCAUGUGAAAGAAUGGCUCUGCCACUUAGCCAUUCGUUCCUAGAAGUGGAUACGUAUACCUGUGCCUUCUCCAUGUAUUUGUAAGUCUAACAAAUACUAUACACACAAAUAUACACCAAUGUUAUGCAAAAUGCAUUCAGGCAAUGUAUUUCAAAUCAAUGAAUAUUUUGAGUCAUCAGCCUAAAUGGUGUUUGUAGAUGCAUAAUUGCACGCUACUUUCUGGGAUUUUUUGUAGUAUUCUGAGUGGCGUUGAGCCGCCACUUCAUUAAAACUGUCCCUUGGGAUCCAAUUCUUUGGGUUUGUUUUUGCAUGUGCCAGGAAAUUCGGACCCUGAUUUCUGUAUGGCCACCACUGCCAUGCUGGUGCACUGCCGGCCGGCGGCACUGUGUGGCACUGCAUGGCCCUGGUGGGCACAGGGAGCAGAAUAACAUGAGAUCCAGUUUGCUUUGGUCGGUCCAGGAGAGACUUCACAGCAGCAGUGAUGGGACACUUUAGAGUUGGCUGAGUGGAGUUUUCCUAUCAUUUCUGAACCUUCUGUCCUUAAACUGAUUCAACUAAAUAUGUGACAUUUUGAGGAAAACUUGCCCUGUGUCUUUAGCUUCUUUCAUACCAGACAGGGUGGGAACAAGAUAAGUUUGCCUUAAAAGCCUUUGUUUUCACUCACUUCUCUACUUGCUUGGUGUCCCAACACACUGGUAUUCAGAUUUGUCACCUCACAGGGCCUUGGUUCUGCCAGAACUCCUGCCUCUGGCUACCAGCAGUGGGAUAUUGAAGGGUUUGAGCUGCAGUCAUCAAGCAGCAACAAACUUACUGCUUUAAUCAGCUCCUUUCCAUGCGAGAUACAACUUGCUGAGCUCCGUGGUUCCUAGAGGUAAUGCCUCAUUUCCAAAAACUCCUGUUUCUGACCAUUGCUGUGGUUUCCCUGGAGUGGGACAGCCAUCCUUGCUCAGUCCCUGCCCCAUCAUUGCCCUGCCCAGCAAUACAGGGCCAGAAGCCCCACUCCCAC